rnacentral:rRNA from 1 species
GACGAACGCUGGCGGCGUGCUUAACACAUGCAAGUCGAACGAGUGGCGAAAGGGGGAGUAAAACGAGGGUGAUUUGCCUUGCACUACGGGAUAAGCAUGGGAAAACGGGUAUAAUACGGGAUAGUGCAAUAUGAGCAGGGGGCCUAUCUGCUUGUUGGUGGGGUAAUGGCUACCAAGGGGCGACGGGUAGCCGGACUGAGAGGGGGUACGGCCACAGUGGUACUGAGAUACGGCCCAGACUCGUACGGGAGGCAGCAGUGGGGAAGAUUGCACAAUGGGCGGAAGCCUGAUGCAGCGACGCCGCGUGGGGGAUGAGGGCCUUCGGUUUGUAAACUCCUUUCGACAGGGACGCGGUACCUGUAUAAGAAGCACCGGCUAACUACGUGCCAGCAGCCGCGGUAAUUC